UUUGGAGGGCAAGUCUGGUGCCAGCAGCCGCGGUAAUUCCAGCUCCAAUAGCGUAUAUUAAAGUUGUUGCAGUUAAAAAGCUCGUAGUUGAAUUUCGGGAUCACCAGGUUGGUCGUGCCACUGGUAUGAACUGGCCUUGCUGAUUCCUCCCUCUUGAUGAACCGUAAUGCCAUUAAUUUGGUGUUGCGGGAAAUCAGGACUGUUACUUUGAAAAAAUUAGAGUGUUUAAAGCAGGCA
rnacentral:rRNA from 1 species